GUGGGGAAUCUUGCGCAAUGGGCGAAAGCCUGACGCAGCGACGCCGCGUGAGUGAUGAAGGCCUUCGGGUUGUAAAGCUCUGUGGAGGGGGACGAAUAAGGCAUGGCUAACAUCCAUGUCGAUGACGGUACCCCUUUAGCAAGCACCGGCUAACUCUGUGCCAGCAGCCGCGGUAAGACAGAGGGUGCAAACGUUGUUCGGAAUGACUGGGCGUAAAGCGCGUGUAGGCGGCUCGGCAAGUCGGGUGUGAAAGCCCUGGGCUCAACCCAGGAAGUGCACUCGAAACUGCCGAGCUGGAGUCCCGGAGAGGAAGGCGGAAUUCUCGGUGUAGAGGUGAAAUUCGUAGAUAUCGAGAGGAACACCGGUGGCGAAGGCGGCCUUCUGGACGGCGACUGACGCUGAGACGCGAAAGCGUGGGGAGCAAACAGGAUUAGAUACCCUAGUAGUCC
rnacentral:rRNA from 1 species